CUGCAAAAUGUUCCAUUGUAGGAUUUGCCAGCACCCUCAGGUUGGCAAGACCACUGUUAGAGACCAUGCCACAGCCAGCAUCUGGCAGCCUGGCCUACCCACUUUGUGAGUUUCUGAGCAGAGGCAGGGGAGCAGAAUGAGAGGCCAAGGCCUUCACAGGGAGCUGGCUGGGUGAAGGCCAGAGCAAGAGGUCGGCGACAUCCAUUGGCACCACCCCAAGCAGCCAGACGGGACUUGAAUUACUAUCAUCCAAUUAUUUGGAGAGGAAGAGUGUGUGUGUGUGUGUGUGUGUGUGUGUGUGUGUGUGUUGGGGCUGUGAACAUGGCCUAGGUCUGCAGUGCAGCCGACUGUGGGUGAUCCAGAGGAGGAAGGUGUACAGAGGCAUUUGUUUUCUUUGGGAUCUGGGUGGCUUGUGGCAUCAGAAAACUGUGGCUGGAGUAUGAGGAAAGGCGUACCCCUUGCUUCUGAUUUGGGCCAGGGGAUUUGUGUGAUUUUGAUGUAUUUGUAGACUUUCAACUGCGGCACCAGAAGGGACCUUAUAGCUGAGAAAAUUGAAGCUCAGAGAGCUGCAGCAGCUUGCCCAGCAUCAUACGGCACUGGAAAUGGUCAGCCAAUGUGUUCCGUAGAGCACGGAGCCAUAACAAAAGAGUCUGUGGGUGUCACCCGCCCGUCUGCCAGCCUGCAGGAUCAGGUAUCGGAGGCCUUCAGGACUCUCGUAGGCUGCCUUGGCAUCUCUGCACCACACUUAUGCCUGGCCCCCAUUCGGCAGGCAGAUCCAAUCCCUGGGAGGAUAAGGGUGUGUUCUGGAAGCUGGCAGUGCCCCCUGGUGAAGCCCUCAGAAGCCUGGGGCGAGAGCUGUCACCUCCCCCACAGAGAAAGCUGGAAUCGAUUCCUCUCUCACCACUCCCUUGGAAAGAACAGCAACACAAGGGAAGGCCUGUUAUUGGUGGAGGGUUUGUCCUGAGAGAGCAGCAGGUACAUAAAAAAAUAGCUGGGGCAACACGCCGGCCUCGGACCCAGCCUGUGCAGCCCAAAACGGGGGCACAGAUCCGUCCCGCCCCACCCUUGCUGCUGAGUUG
rnacentral:lncRNA from 1 species